CCUACGGGUGGCAGCAGUGAGGAAUAUUGGUCAAUGGACGAUAGUCUGAACCAGCCAAGUAGCGUGAAGGAUGACUGCCCUAUGGGUUGUAAACUUCUUUUAUAUGGGAAUAAAAUGCAGUACGUAUGCCUUUUUGCAUGUACCUUAUGAAUAAGGAUCGGCUAACUCCGUGCCAGCAGCCGCGGUAAUACGGAGGAUCCGAGCGUUAUCCGGAUUUAUUGGGUUUAAAGGGAGCGUAGGUGGGUUGUUAAGUCAGUUGUGAAAGUUUGCGGCUCAACCGUAAAAUUGCAGUUGAUACUGGCAGUCUUGAGUACAGUAGAGGUAGGCGGAAUUCGUGGUGUAGCGGUGAAAUGCUUAGAUAUCACGAAGAACGCCGAUUGCGAAGGCAGCUUACUAGACUGUAACUGACGCUGAUGCUCGAAAGUGUGGGUAUCAAACAGGAUUAGAUACCCCGGUAGUC
rnacentral:rRNA from 1 species